CUUAUGGCUUAUGGCGGCUCGUUGCCAAAAGUUUAGCUACAGCUAUUUUCUUCGAAAAUUACUAAUGAAUUCGCUGGAGAAAAUGUGAAAGGUGCAUGAAGCCUGUACUGUCUUGUAUUGUGUUAAAAAUCCUGGUAUCCUACUGAAUAUGUCAUCCAAAUGACAGAGUGGAUUCAUCACUAUUAUCGGCUGAAUCAUUCUAUGGAACUUGCCAGAUCACCAACCCCAUCACGGACCAAUCUCUCAUUCCAUCUUGUAGAGAACCUUGGAUAACCGAUUGGUGGUUUAGUGUGUAAGUUUGUUUGUCAUGUCACUAAAUUUAUUUUGUUGCAGUCUUAUAUGUAUUUAAAGUUCUGCACGUUCUGCACUUAUGUCUAUCUAAUGUUUAAGUUUAAUUAUUCUUUUAGAUCAUAGACAUCAAGCACAUUGAUGCCACAAAUUAUAGACAAGGUGACUUUAUUUUUUAUUUACAGGUUCUUGGGUUGCAUGACAGACUUUAUGAGAAGUCAUGUCCAUUGAACAAAAAGGACAAUGACUAUACAGUAACCCGUUGGCUGCUAGCCUGCUACUUGAAUAUCCCCUUUUACUUCUUUAAAAUGUAAACAGGCCCUCUUGGUUUGAGGGUAACUCCUUCGCUACUUAUCAUGGACUUCAUCCAUUGGUGAAAACCAAUGACAACCAGGAGGAAAAGAGUGUGCUGGUCGAAUGGGGCACUUGCAAGCUUAAGCCGGAAGCCUACUAUAGGAUUAAUCGUUCUCGUAAUAACUGUUCCUCAACUCUUCGCUCUUUUUCCGGUUUCUCCUACCAUCUCCCUGUCUGCAGUCAAUUAAGGCAGUCUCCACCUGUCUUGAUUGACUCCAUGUGCGAGUUUUUAAAGCAAUUUAUCUCCCAAAUGACACAAAGAAGUUGGUUAGGUUUGUUUUAUUUGGGUAUAAAUUGUUUUAAAACUUGUACUAAUAAUCAAUUGCCUUGUACCGGACGCUCUGUUUAUUAAAUUUUUAAUA